AUACCUUUCUCGGCCUUUUGGCUAAGAUAAGUGUAGUAUCUGUUCUUAUCAGUUUAAUAUUUGAUAUGUGAGUCAAUGACUCAUAUGAUAUUAACUUAAUUUUUAGGGGAAGAGCCUGCAAGGUAGCUUGCUAUCUGGGUUCUUAAGUGUCGCUCAAGUAUUGCACUAUAGUUUGAGCCAGGCACACCCCAC